rnacentral:rRNA from 1 species
AUUGAACGCUGGCGGCAGGCUUAACACAUGCAAGUCGAGCGAGCGGCGGACGGGUGAGUAAUGUAUGGGAAACUGCCUGAUGGAGGGGGAUAACUACUGGAAACGGUAGCUAAUACCGCAUACCAUCAGAGGUGCCCAGAUGGGCUUAGCUAGUAGGUGGGGUAAUGGCUCACCUAGGCGACGAUCCCUAGCUGGUCUUAGAGGAUGACCAGCCACACUGGAACUGAGACACGGUCCAGACUCCUACGGGAGGCAGCAGUGGGGAAUAUUGGACAAUGGGGGCAAGCCUGAUGCAGCCAUGCCGCGUGUGUGAAGAAGGCCUUCGGGUUGUAAAGCACUUUCAGCGAGGAGGCGGUACUCGCAGAAGAAGCACCGGCUAACUCCGUGCCAGCAGCCGCGGUAAUUC